CAGCUGAGCACACUACAGUGAGCACUGUCAAUAAUUCCUUUUAUUCUCCAGCUAAUCAAGAAACCCAGCCUUUGAUAUCUGAGUCAUUGCUCCACAUCCUGCCCCGCUUCAGCACUUCCUCAUUCAAGGCAGAAGCUCCUUGCAGCAGCACAUUUCAAUCUCAGCACAUUCAGGCAGGAUACCGAGAGAUCCCACACUGCCUUCCCUCCCACUCAGGACAAGGAAUCUAGAGCCAGCCAUCCCUGUGGAAGCUGAACAUUCCUAAACAUACACAGAAGGUGGCAGUCCAGUCCAGGUGGCAAGACACUGCAGACACAUGUCAAUGGCCAGAGCUUUGUUUCAACAGGGCUCUGCUUCUGUUGGCCUGGGAGAGGAGCUCAGAUCAGGCUGCGUGGGCACACUCGGGUGCUCAGCCCUAGCCCGAGGCAUCCAUACCGCCUAUGGUGGUUAGCAGAGGCAUACCAGAACUCCCACUGGCUUGAGUUUUCCACUGUGUGUGUUGCUAGGAGGAGAAAUUAGAAGCUGGUUUUGAUGGUGG
rnacentral:lncRNA from 1 species